UAUGAAUCUAUGGUAGCCUCCCUGG
rnacentral:piRNA from 1 species